rfam:Gossypium raimondii Chr13_contig_1346, whole genome shotgun sequence.
UGUUAAAAAUUUCAUAUAUUUCUACUGUUAAAAAUUGUCAUAGCUAACACAGUAACCAACAGUGACAUGUGGCGUGCCACAUGUAUAUCGUGCGUGUAAGGAUAAAUUUUUAAUAGUAGAAAUGGAUAAUUUUUUUAACA